UACAGAGGGUGCGAGCGUUAAUCGGAAUUACUGGGCGUAAAGCGUGCGUAGACGGUUAUUUAAGUCGGAUGUGAAAUCCCCGGGCUCAACCUGGGAACUGCAUUUGUGACUGCAAGGCUGGAGUGCGGCAGAGGGGGAUGGAAUUCCGCGUGUAGCAGUGAAAUGCGUAGAUAUGCGGAGGAACACCGAUGGCGAAGGCAAUCCCCUGGGCCUGCACUGACGCUCAUGCACGAAAGCGUGGGGAGCAAACAGG
rnacentral:rRNA from 1 species